rnacentral:rRNA from 1 species
AAUGAACGCUGGCGGCGCGCCUAAUACAUGCAAGUCGAGCGAGAAGACGUAGCAAUACGUUUGUAAAGCGGCGAACGGGUGAGGAAUACAUGGGUAACCUACCCUCGAGUGGGGAAUAACUAGCCGAAAGGUUAGCUAAUACCGCGUACGCUCCUUGGACUUCGGUUCAGGGAGGAAAGCGAUACCGUGGGUAUCGCGCUCUUGGAUGGGCUCAUGUCCUAUCAGCUUGUUGGUGAGGUAACGGCUCACCAAGGCUUCGACGGGUAGCUGGUCUGAGAGGACGAUCAGCCACACUGGCACUGCGACACGGGCCAGACUCCUACGGAGGCAGCAGUAAGGAAUAUUGCGCAAUGGGCGAAAGCCUGACGCAGCGACGCCGCGUGGGGGAUGAAGGUCUUCGGAUUGUAACCCCUUU